UUAACGAGAAAAACCUUCCCUGGGGUGUAAUCAUUUUGACCGACCCAGGGAUAGGGCCUCUUGGGCAAAAACAAGCAGAGAACAAGGGGCCCCAUGGCUUUUUUCCCCUUGUUUUGUGAGAUUUUGGGUUAAGUCCCCCAAAGGGCGCAACCCUUACCUAUUGUUCCCCACGGUUAGGCGGGGCAUUCUAGGGAGACUGCCGUUGCCAAACCGGAGGAAGGUGGGGAUGACGUCAAGUCUUCAUGGCCUUUAUGUCCAGGGCUACACACGUGUUCCAAUGGCGGGUACAAAGGGCUGCAAACCCGCAAGGGGAGCCAAUCGAUAAAGCCGGUCUCAGUCCGGAUGCAGUCUGCAGCUCGAUGCAUGAUCUG
rnacentral:rRNA from 1 species